rnacentral:sRNA from 1 species
GUGGCAGCAACCAUGUGCAUUGGCCCGGAAGGAGAUUUGCAUGGCGUGCCCCCUGGCGAGUGUGCAGUGCGCCUGGUGAAAGCAGGAGCAUCCAUCAUUGGUGUGAACUGCCACUUUGACCCCACCAUUAGUUUAAAAACAGUGAAGCUCAUGAAGGAGGGCUUGGAGGCUGCCCGACUGAAAGCUCACCUGAUGAGCCAGCCCUUGGCUUACCACACUCCUGACUGCAACAAGCAGGGAUUCAUCGAUCUCCCAGAAUUCCCGUUUGGACUGGAACCCAGAGUUGCCACCAGAUGGGAUAUUCAAAAAUACGCCAGAGAGGCCUACAACCUGGGGGUCAGGUACAUUGGCGGGUGCUGUGGAUUUGAGCCCUACCACAUCAGGGCAAUUGCAGAGGAGCUGGCCCCAGAAAGGGGCUUUUUGCCACCAGCUUCAGAAAAACAUGGCAGCUGGGGAAGUGGUUUGGACAUGCACACCAAACCCUGGGUUAGAGCAAGGUAAGCAUCUUUUUACUAACCCAAACUAAUUUAGAUUAUGAAUAUGUUCAAGUGAGGCCAUUUAGAAGACUGCAGCAAAUUUGUUGUGUGAUGAUGAAGAAUCAGUCAUCCCCAAAUUCUCUCCCAGAGAUGUUUACAAAGCAUCCUUAUUAGGUGAUUUCUGGAGAUUGUUUUAAGAAUAUAAAACGUAUUUGACCUGAUUUUGGAUUUUGAA